rnacentral:rRNA from 1 species
CACGUAGGCGGUUCGUUAAGUCAGAUGUGAAAGCCCUCGGCUCAACCGAGGAAGUGCAUCUGAAACUGGCGAGCUAGAGUACUAAAGAGGGUCGCGGAAUUCCCGGUGUAGAGGUGAAAUUCGUAGAUAUCGGGAGGAACACCGGUGGCGAAGGCGGCGACCUGGGUAGAUACUGACGCUGAGGUGCGAAAGCGUGGGGAGCAAACA